UACAGGGGGGGCAAGCGUUGUUCGGAAUUACUGGGCGUAAAGGGCUCGUAGGCGGCCAACUAAGUCCGACGUGAAAUCCCCAAGCUUAACUUGGGAACUGCGUCGGAUACUGGAUGGCUUGAAUUCGGGAGAGGGAUGCAGAAUUCCAGGUGUAGCGGUGAAAUGCGUAGAUAUCUGGAGGAAUACCGGUGGCGAAGGCGGCAUCCUGGACCGACAUUGACGCUGAGGAGCGAAAGCUAGGGGAGCAAACGGGG
rnacentral:rRNA from 1 species